UACGUAGGGGGCAAGCGUUGUCCGGAAUCAUUGGGCGUAAAGAGCGUGUAGGCGGUCCGGUCAGUCGGUUGUGAAAGUCAAGGGCUCAACCCUUGAAUGCCGGCCGAUACUGCCGGGCUAGAGUCCGGAAGAGGUGAGUGGAAUUCCUGGUGUAGCGGUGAAAUGCGCAGAUAUCAGGAGGAACACCAAUGGCGAAGGCAGCUCACUGGGACGGUACUGACGCCGAGACGCGAAAGCGUGGGGAGCAAACAGG
rnacentral:rRNA from 1 species